rnacentral:rRNA from 1 species
UACAGAGGGGGGCAAGCGUUGUUCGGAAUUACUGGGCGUAAAGGGCGCGUAGGCGGCCUUCUAAGUCGAACGUGAAAUCCCCCGGGCUCAACCCGGGAACUGCGUCCGAUACUGGAAGGCUUGAAUCCGGGAGAGGGAUGCGGAAUUCCAGGUGUAGCGGUGAAAUGCGUAGAUAUCUGGAGGAACACCGGUGGCGAAGGCGG